rnacentral:pre_miRNA from 1 species
AUCAUCUGGAGAUCUUGUUAAGAUGUAGAUUCUGAUUCAGGAAGUCUGAGUGGUACCUGAGAGUCUGCAUUUCUAACAAGCUUCCAGGUGAUACCAG